rnacentral:rRNA from 1 species
CCUACGGGUGGCAGCAGUCGAGAAUCAUUCACAAUGGGGGAAACCCUGAUGGUGCGACGCCGCGUGGGGGAAUGAAGUUCUUCGGAUUGUAAACCCCUUUCAUGUGGGAGCAAAUUAAAAGGAUAGUACCACAAGAGGAAGAGACGGCUAACUCUGUGCCAGCAGCCGCGGUAAUACAGAGGUCUCAAGCGUUGUUCGGAAUCACUGGGCGUAAAGGGUGCGUAGGCUGUUUCGUAAGUCGUGUGUGAAAGGCGCGGGCUCAACCCGCGGACGGCCCAUGAUACUGCUAGACUAGAGUGAUGGAGAGGGAAGCGGAAUUCUAGGUGUAGCAGUGAAAUGCGUAGAUAUCGAGCGGAACACUCGUGGCGAAGGCGGGUUGCUGGACAUUAACUGACGCUGAGGCACGAAGGCCAGGGGAGCGAAAGGGAUUAGAUACCCCAGUAGUC